GCCUAACCAUAACACAACAACAAAUCACUAGUUGUUCGCCAAAUAACUACGAGUAAAAACUUAAAAUUUAAAAGACUUGACGGUACCCCACAACAGCCUAGAGGAGCCUGUUCAAUAACCGAUACUCCACGAUUAAUCCAACCCACCCUAGCCCACCAGUCUAUAUACCGCCGUCGCCAGCCUACCUUAUGAAAGAAACAAAGUAAGCCAAAUAGUCACACACUAGCACGACAGGUCGAGGUGUAACUCAUGGGGGGGACCAAGAAUGGGCUACAUUUUCUAAAUUAGAUAAUACGAAUUAAACCAUGAAACAAGAAACUGAAGGCGGAUUUAGCAGUAUACUACGAACAAAAUACCUAGUUGAAAUUAACGCAAUGGGGUGCGUACACACCGCCCGUCAUCCCUGUCAACUAAAAUAAAACAUCCAUAAUACUAACACAACCCAUAAAGCAGGGCAAGUCGUAACACGGUAAGCGUACUGGAAAGUGCGCUUAGAAA
rnacentral:rRNA from 1 species